rnacentral:rRNA from 1 species
UACAGGGGGCGCAAGCGUUAUCCGGAAUGAUUGGGCGUAAAGCGUCUGUAGGUUGUAGAUGAAGUCUGCUGUUAAAUUCCAGGGCUUAACCUUGGACAAGCAGUAGAGUACUCAUUUGCUAGAGUUUGGGAGAGGUAGAGGGAACUCCUCGUGGAGCGGUGAAAUGCGUAGAGAUGAGGAAGAACACCAGUGGCGAAAGCGCUCUACUGGACCAUGACUGACACUGAGAGACGAAAGCUGAGGGAGCGAAAAGG